AGGAGGAAGGAAAAUUAUUUGUUUGCAGAUGACAUGAUCUUGAACAUAACAAAACCCUAGAGAUACCACAAAAAAUAUUAGAACCAGUUUUUUAAAAUGAGGAAGAGUGCAGGAUGCACAAUGAGCACAAUGAACAAAGAAAAUAAAUAAAAAUAAACCACCUAUGAUUCUACACACCAGCAUGGAAAUAUAUGCAAAACAAAUAACAAAAUUAUACAAUUGAAAAUGGCACAGAAUAAAGUACUUGGGAUUAAACUUCAUAAAGUAUGUAAAAUAAUUGUAGAGCGAAAAUGACCUUUGUUGAUGAAAGCCAUGUAAAAAUGCACAAGUUCCACAAAUAUACCUGUGCUCACUGAUAAGAAUUAUUCAUAUUGUCACAGCACCAUCCACACAAACUAAUGUAGAAAUGCAUCCCAAACCUGCCAUUCACUUUUAAAGAAUCAAAUCUAAGUCUGCAGUGUGAUAUAUAUGCAAGAGGACAUGCAAAUAGGGCCCUCUCUGUGCUGAUAAAACCAGCCCAUCCCGACCGUGCAGCUGGGAGAGGAGCCCCAGCUCCAGGGGUCCCAGGUGUUCCCAUUCUGUGAUGAGGACAGAACACAGACACCUCAUCAUGGAGUAUGUGCUUGGCUUGGUUUACCUUGUUGCAUUUUUAAAAGGUGUCCAGUGUGACGUGCAGCUGGUGGAGUCUGGGGGAGACCUGGUGAAGCCUGGGGGGUCCCUGAGACUCACCGGUGUAGCCUCUGGAUUCACCUUCAGUAGUUCCAGCAUGAACUGGGUCUGCCAGGCUCCAGGAAAGGGGCUGCAGUGGGUCGCGUAUAUUAGUAGUAGUGGAGGUAGCACAAGCUACGCAGACUCCGUGAAGGGCCGAUUCACCAUCUCCAGAGACAACGCCAAGAACACGCUGUAUCUGCAGAUGAACAACCUGAAGUCUGAGGACACGGCCACAUAUUACUGUGCAAGGAACAGGGUGAGGGGACCUCGCUGGGAGCUCACACGCAAACCUCCCUGCAGGAGGGGAUCAGCACCACCAGGGGGCGCACACUAUGCACAAUUCUGCUUUGUGUUGCCAGGAGCAGGUGCAGAUGGAGGUUACAGGCAGGUUUCCUGUCAGGGUCUGGGGCUUCCUGUCCACACAGCAGUUUCCCCAGGGAGCCUCUCUGGACACAGGAUUCUGUGCUUACCUAUUAACUCUCUGAAUUAGAUACCUGUUGUCAUAGGAAAACUGCACUAACAUGCACAAAAGACACAGUUGUUUGCAUUGCUUACUCCUGUCCCUCAACAUGAGUGAAUUACAGAUUUUCUGAGGCACAACAUCUGAGCCAUUAGAGGAGUCCCAGAUGCACUCCCUGUGCAGCCAGGACCACAGGAUCCCACAGCUCCCCAUUAACUUCACCCAGCCCUUGUCCCAAUCAAACAACGUGACACUCCCUCCUGGCACUUGCUACUCAGGACGUUAAAUGAGCUACAGCUUUAUUCAAUUCCUCUAAACAAGAGAUAAAUCAUCUCCAUGUAUUAGUCUGGAUUCUCCUGAGGAACAGAACCCAAAGCACAUUGGUUUCCAUGACUAAAGAGGUUGGGAAGUCCCAUGAUCUACUGUCACAAGCUGGAGACCCAGGAAAACCAGUGGUGUAAUAUGUCUGAUUCUGAACUAGGGUCUAGUCUCAGAACGUAGAGAUCUGAUGAUAUAACUCUCAUAACAAGGGCCAGAGGGGACCACUGUUCCAGUUCAAACAAGCACAUGGGAAGUAAAAAUGAGGGAAUUCUUCCUCCCUCUGCAUCAGAUUCUAUUCAGAACCUUAAUGGAAUGGGUGAUGCCCAGACAGAAACCAUGGAAGGAAAUGCCAGUCUCUUCUGGAAACACAUCACAGACAUCCACAGAAACAGUGGUGAAUCUGGGCACCCAUGACUCAGUCAAGAUAACCCAUAAAGUUAAUCAUGACAAGUCAACUUCCUGUAAACGUGGAGCUCAAAGACUGAAGACUUCAAUUUAAAUUAAAAAUAAAAGAAGAAAAUUAAAUACAUACAUAUAUGAACCAUUGGGACUACCUCAAAAUAGCACGCUUCUGCACAGUGAGGGAAACAAUCAACAAAACUAAAAGUCAACCUAUGGAAUGGAAGAAGAUAUUUGUAAAUGAAAUAUCCUCAGGGUUACUAUUCAAACUAUGCAAAUGUUUUGAAAUUAUUUUCACAUUAUCAGUAGAGAGUGUGUCCAUGCCGUUCAGCAUACUGUCAUGUGAGAAGCAAAAUUCGUGUCUUCCACUUUGGUUUUGUGUUAGGAUCUCACUGAACAUGACACCAACACUCUUCACAAAACUUGAACCAUACAGUACAGUACUGUUAAUUACAGGGGUAAUGUUGUGGAGACCCCUCUAGAACUUAAUCAUCUUGCAUAACAGAAAAUCAUAGCCCUUGAGAUCUACUCCUCAUUGCCCCACCCUGCCAGCCCCUGACAACUGCCAUUCCACUCUCCAUUGUAUUGUUAUCAAAUCCCAAAUUCAGCUGAGUAUUUCUGGAAAGGUCAAUGUUCAAAGUUUUAGUUUUGGUGGGAAAAGAAGUUGAGCUUUAUUUAGGAGGUCAGCCACCCGGAGAAAAGGCAGACUCUUCAAAAGCCAACUCUGAGGGUUUCUGCCCAACCCAGGGGAUUUUAAAGGACUAGACGGUACUUAAACAAGGGAGUUCCAUGGUGGAUACCAUUUUCGAUCAUGUGCAGCCUCCAUGGUGCAAGCUGCCAACGUAACCUCAACUCCCCUGCAUCUAUCUCCACCUGAGGAGAGAAACUCACAGGCAUGGGAGAAGACUGCCAGAGGCCAGGAAAGAACCACAAUAAGGGAUUAGAGGGGAAAUCCCCUGGGGCUCACACAUGUUCAGCAGUACUUUCUGUUCUCACCAGAUGGCAUAAGAAAAAACUAAAAUACAACCUUGUACUUCACCAAUCAUGACACAGAAUACUGGGAAAUGUUUCCUCAGUAAACUCAGAGGAAGCUUCAAAGCAACAACCAAAAGGAUCAAAUGGCUUGCAAACUAAUAGCCAACCAGAAUAAGACAUGUAAAAUUACAAAGCGAUGUUUUUCAAUACGUACAAAGGUAAAAUUGACAGUCUACCUCCAUAUCCCAUGGAAGUAGGAAGCAUUGGUCUCCAUAAUGAGGAAAAGCAGUCAUCCAGAGAAAGUGACCCAGCAGUACCACAGGACGUGGAAUUGGUAGAGAAGUUCAGUGUGUUAUAAUUGCAUAUCCCGUAUCCAAAUAGAAGGAGAAAAGAUGGAAUGUGUUGAAUAGAGCCGUGUUUCUGGGUCAAAGUCCCUACCCAUGUCCAUGUGAGCACUGUUGACCAUGGCCCACCUGACUCUCCACAUCCACCCCAGGUGAACUGAUGAGCAGGGUCACCCAAUGCCACACCCUGUGACUGUUACCUAACCCCACAGGUGGCCCCGAGGUGUAGGGUGCUGGCCACCCGGUACAGCCCUCUGUUCUGUCUGAUGGUCUAGACCUGGCUUUGCUGAGGAUCCUCCAUUUAUCCAUUCUCACUGGCAGAUGUCCCUGAGCACGGGCAUGAGGCUGGCAGAGGACCAGGUCACCCUGAGGGCACCCCUCUUGCUGUUUGCGCUCUGGGCAUUGCUGGCUCCUGUCCAAGGUUCUCAAGGUCGUCCCUCAUGGCGCUACAUCUCUUCUGAGGUGGUAAUUCCCAAGAAGGAGUUGCACCACGGCAAGGGCGUUCAGAUGCCUGGCUGGCUGUCCUAUAGCCUGCAUUUUGGGGGCAAGAGCCAUGUUAUCCACAUGAGGCACAAGAAACUCUUUUGGUCCAGACAUUUGCUGAUGAUGACUCAGGAUGAUCAGGGAGCCUUGCAGAUGGACUACCCCUUCAUCCCUCCAGACUGUUACUACCUCGGCUACCUGGAGGAGAUUCCUCUUUCCAUGGUCACCAUGGACACGUGCUAUGGGGGCCUUGAAGGUAUCAUGAAGUUGGAUGACCUUGCCUAUGAAAUCAGACCCCUCAGCGAUUCCCAACGGUUUGAACACGUUGUUUCUCAGAUAGUGGCAGACACCAAUGCAACGGGACCUACUUAUAACCUGGGAUAUAAGGGGGAUAGGAACCCCCUGUUCUCUCAAGCAAAUAUCACUGCAGCCCCCAGGAUCUCUAGUAAGUUGUAUUCAUCCCAUCAUGGAAUUUUGAAAGGACUUGUUCUCGGUUCCAAAACAAUGUAUAGUGUGUUCAACAACGUGUCAAAAUGUGCCCGAUUCCUCAUAAUGCUUGUUAGUUUGACUGACUCAAUGCUUCAAGGUAUUGAUGUAAGGCACUAUAUUUCCUCCAUGGUCAUUUAUAAUCUGGAAGAUCCAGUUGUCUUGAACAAUUUUCAGGUGCCAGGGAGUCCGAUUCAUAUCUACUUUCAAAGACACUUGUUUGUUGCUUUUAAACCACAUACAGCUUUACUUAUGAACAAAGAUGCGCCACAUGAACUUCAGUUUCAGCCAGCCACAUAUGCGGUAUGUGGAUCAAAAUCCAUCAUCUCGCUUGCUUCUCUAAGCAGAAAUUUUUUAUUGUUGUCUGUGUUAGUAGCCCAAAAAAUUGCAUUAUCUAUUGGUAUUUUUUAUGACAAUCAGUUUUGUGCAUGCCAGAGGAGGUCUACCUGCAUUAUGAAUCAAUACCCUAUUAUGACAGAUUCUUUCAGUAACUGUUCCUUCAUUCAUAUGCAGCAUGUAGUGGUGACUAAUUUUUGUGAGUGCAUAUUUGACUCAGGACUUUCCUAUUUCAAUAAAAGCCUGACUCACGAUCGUUGUGGAAACUAUGUAGUGGAGCCAGGUGAGCAGUGUGACUGUGGCUCCUUCAAGCAGUGCUACAACAAUCCCUGCUGUACGAGUGAUUGUAUUCUAACCCCUGGCAGCAAAUGUGAUACAGGCAGAUGCUGUACAAACUGCACCUAUUCCGAUGCUGGGACACUCUGCAGGCCAAUCCAAAAUAUAUGUGAUCUUCCAGAAUACUGCCGUGGGGUGUCCGUGGAGUGCCCUGAUGACUUCUAUAUGCAAGAUGGAACCCCGUGCACUGAAGAGGGCUACUGCUAUCAUGGAAACUGCACUGACCGCACUAUGCACUGCCAAGAAAUCUUUGGCAGAAAUGCUGUGAAGGGUGAAAAUGUCUGCUAUACCAUAAAUCAAAAAGGCAGCCGAUAUGGACACUGCAGAAGAGACCCAGGGGUAUUCAAAUCUAAACCCUGUUCCCCCACAGACAUGCAGUGUGGAAGGCUGCAGUGUAGUAACUUCACCCAUCUCCCUCAGCUGCAAGAGCAUGUUGGAUUUCACCAGUCUGAGAUCUCAGGGUUCUGGUGUUUUGGGCUGGAUUCGCAUCAUAGCACAGGAACAACCGAUAUUGGUCAUGUGAGAACUGGUACCCCCUGUGCUCCUGGAAAGUUCUGUCAGGAUACCUACUGCAAUGGCAGUGUGACUCAACUGAACUAUGACUGUAUCCCAGAGAAAUGCAGUCACAGAGGGAUAUGCAACAGUAACAGGAACUGCCAUUGCCACGUAGGCUGGGAUCCUCCACGGUGCACUGAAUGAGGCACUGGUGGGAGCACAGACAGUGGACCCCCUCCAAGAAGAAUGCGGUCAGUCAGGCAAAGUCGUGAAUCCGUGGCAUAUCUCAGAGUGAUCUUUGCUAGAAUCUAUGUCUUAAUUGCUGCAUUCCUCUUUGGUGUUGCCGGAAAUGUCAGAACUAUCAACAGACAGAAAGUUACGGAAGAGACUGUUGAUCAAGACAAUGCAUAAUUCAGCCUCCAGACCCCUAAACAACUAUAGACAGUCCACGUGGCUCAUCUGUGAAAAUACAGUAAUGAGGCGGCACAGCUAACAUCCACGUUUCCAGGGGUCUGCGGGAGACACAGGGGUCCACAGGCACAUCAUGGACCUGACACCAGGUCUCUAAUGCGUCACUGAGCAGAACUCUGAAAUAAAACUUGAAAACGGCA